rnacentral:rRNA from 1 species
UACGUAGGUGGCAAGCGUUGUUCGGAAUUAUUGGGCGUAAAGGGCGCGUAGGCGGUUUGCUAAGUCAGUUGUGAAAGCCCGGGGCUCAACCCCGGAGGGUCGGCUGAUACUGGUGGACUAGAGUACGGAAGAGGUAGCUGGAAUUCCAGGUGUAGCGGUGAAAUGCGUAGAUAUCUGGAGGAAUACCGGUGGCGAAGGCGGCAUCCUGGACCGGCAUUGACGCUGAGGAGCGAAAGCCAGGGGAGCAAACGGG